CGACUGUUUAACAAAAACACAGCUCCCUGCGAACUCGUAAGAGGAUGUAUAGGGGGUGACACUUGACCAAUGCCAGAAGGUCAAAUAUCGGCGUUGCUUUGUCGCAAGAUGGAGUGGUGACUGAUAUAAGCCCUGGUGAAUGUCGGCGAUAACUAUAAUCGUCCUAAGGUUGACCAUACUUUUCUUUAUAUGUCAAGCGUGGUCAAGGAUUGGGACGAUUACGGGUCGGCAUUUAAGUAGCGCUGCCCAUCCGCACAUGGCGGGUGUCCUAGAAUAUCUAGCUAUAUGCUGGAAAAUCUGUGGAUAAACUCCUUUAGUAUCCAACGAUACUAUGGUAAGAUUGUUCCAUAGUGAAUAAUCUACUUAGUAAAAAAUUAGUUGGUGCAGAUAACCAGCAGGAAAGAUUAGAAAUAGAAUCGUGGAUCGUGGGAUUUACAGACGGAGAGGGUUGUUUUUCGGCAAGUUUUAUUAAAAAUAAAACUACAAAAUCCGGAUGGCAAUUGUUUCCUGAAUUUGUAAUUACCCAAGGCGCAAAAAGUAUCUCUGCUUUGGAAGCGGUACAAAACUACUUCCAAUGCGGAAAGAUAUUUGUGAAUAAACGAUAUGAUAAUCACAAUGAAUAUCUGUAUCGCUACUGCGUACGAUCUAUAAAAGAUUUACGAGACAAAAUAAUUCCUUUUUUUGAGAAAAGAAAAUUAAAGACAUAUAAAGCAAGAGAUUUUAGAAUCUUUGCGCGUAUUGUGAAAUGUAUGUCUCGAAUGAUUCACCUUAAACCGAAAGGAAUGAAAAGAAUUGCUGAAAUGAUUGAGCAUAUGAAUAGAAAGAAAAAAUCUCGUUUUCUAAAAUCCUCAGAAACCAAACGCUAGAAUCCGAUUUUGGUCGGAUAAGAUAGAGUUCGUCCUGCAUGGCGACAUGCAGAUUAACAAAAGAUAGCGCAAUUCCUUGCGGGGUAAGUUCCCGCGCGUUGAAUAGUGUCACGUCUGGGCAACUGUCUCGGAGACUCGCUCGGUGAAAAUACAAUACCGGUGAAGAUGCCGGUUACCUGCAGUUAGACGAAAAGACCCCGGAAGCUUUACUGUAUCUUGGUAUUGCCUGCAUUUUUUUGAUGCGUAGCGUAGGCGGUAGGAUUUGAAGUCCCGCUCUCGGGCGGGAUGGAUCCAACGAUGAAACACCGCUCUUUAGAAAUAUGCAUGCUAACCUCGCACGCCAAACGCGCGAGAGACAGUACCUGGGGGGCAGUUUUAGUGGGGCGCUAUCCUGGACGCGUCCUUGGUCAAUUAGCAGAAGGCCUAAACAUAAAGAGGGAUCGUUUUGUGCAAACAAAACGCAAACAAUUAGCUAUAUGCUGGAACAUCUGGAGUAUCUUACGCUACCGCGCGUCGUGCGGGUAAAAAUGUGUCAGUGCAGACAACCAGCAGGAAACUGCAAUAUCUGAAGAAGGGAAAUAAAAAAUUGCAGGAUCCUCAGAGACUACACGCUAAUCCCCAGCACCACUUUUGUCUUACAAAAGUGGUGCUGGGUGAAGAUAUAGUCCGAACUUUAUGGCGACAUAAAGAGCGCGGCAGAAAUGCUUGCGCCAAUUUGGAAGUUGUACUUUCAGAUUCGUAACACACUUGUUUAAAAAGUAACAAAGGAGCCCAUCAAGGUCAGCUAGGCGCGAAUGGAAACCGUGCCGAUAGUGCAAUGGCAAAAGCUGGCUUAACUGUGAGGCGUCAGAGCCGAGCAGACGCGAAAGCGGGGCAUAGUGAACCGAUGGUACGCGUUAGACGCGGCCAGAGAUCAUCUGCUAAAAGCUACUCCGGGGAUAACAGGCUAGUUCCGCCUAAGAGUCCUAAUCGGCGGCGGAGUUCGGCACCUCGAUGUCGGCUCAACUUAUCCCGGGGCUGAAGAAGGUCCCAAGGGUAUGGCUGUUCGCCAUUUAAAAAGUUACGUGAGCUGGGUUCAGACCGU
rnacentral:rRNA from 1 species